CUCUGUUCCUUUCAUGGAUUUCACCUCAAAUGUAUUGGUUGUUGUCGCAAUUGGCUCCUUUGAAAGAUCCUGCGUCUUUGUCCUUUGCUGAAAUGUGCUCACUUCUGUCCGUAUAUUUUCAAAAGCAUACGCAUGUAGUAGCCUCUCGUGUUGCCUUUUAUCAUUGUCAAAAACAACCGAAUCCAUCCUAUCGCGCUUGGGCUGCUGAACUUCAUGGCCUCAGUCGAAAGCGUCAGUUUGUUACUGACGUUCACAAAGAAUCCUACGCCGAUUCCAUGGUACGGGGUGCUAUUAUCCGGUUGGCGCCCGACAAAGACGUUAGGCAACGUGCCCUUCAGUUGGCAAAUCUGACUCUGGAUGAAGUCCUAUCCAUCACUCAGUCUUUUGAAAUUUCUUGUGCCGCUGGAGCGCAAAUAGAGGCAGGGGGUGACGUUGGGGACAUACAACCUCUUUACACUGUUGACGAAGCUUGCAGCGUGUCCCCCAUAAACCCAUAAACAAACCUCUAAGAAACUGCAGCAAAACCCACGGCAACUUUUUUCAUGUCCGCAGUGUUUAACGAAACAUUCACGGGAGGAUUGUCCCCAACGUUGGGCCAUGUGUUACAAAUGCAAAAAGAAGGGUCAUGUGUCAUCCAUUUGCAAAUCCAACCGCAUACCUGACAUUUGUGAAUAUGACACUGAUUCUACUUCUGUGUUGUCUGUCAAUGGUACUUGUUCCCUUUCAGCGAAGUUAUUCCUCACUGUCCAAAUCCUUGGUCGGGAUGUUUGCAUGCAGGUGGAUACUGGUUCUGCUGCCACUAUCAUCAAUUCUCAGACGUAUCUUCAGUUGGGUUCUCCAACCCUAUCACCUGUCACUAGGCAAUUACGGACGUACAAUAAACAGAAGAUUUCUCUCUUGGGACAAUUUAAUGCUGCGGUAUCUUACAAAUCCUUCAUUCAGACUGUUCCCAUCUUUGCGGUCGACCAUAGUAACCCGGAGAAUCUUUUUGGUUUCGAAGCCUUUCGUGCUUUUGGGUUCUCCAUAGAUGACUCUGUCAAUAUCGUCUCUGAUGCUAUUCCUUAUGCUCAAUUGGAUUCCUUGUUGACGACAUUUUCGUCCCUUUUUUCUCCUGGGUUAGGCCAUGCAAACGACUUUGAAGCUCAUAUCACGCUCAAACCCAGUGCUCGGCCUAAGUUUUUUCAGGCUUGGCCCAUUCCUGUGGCCCUUCGUGAUCGGGUCAAAUGGGAGCUGGAUCGUCUCACUGCUUCGGGGGUCUUGCUUCCUGUCACUUCCAGUGAGUGGUCCUCUCCUGUUGUUGUCGUUGCUAAGCCCAAUGGUGAUAUUCGUCUCUGUGGCGAUUUCAAAGCCACUGUACAAGCUCAAUGCCUCAUCGACACUUACCCUAUGCCCCGACCUGAAGAACUGUUCACUAAACUUGCUGGAGGCCAGUUUUUUUCUAAACUUGACCUGUCAGAAGCUUAUCAACAACUUCCUCUCGACACUGCUUCCCGGCAGUUCCUGGUCCUUAACACGCCUUUCGGCCUCUAUCAAUACCAACGAUUGCCAUUCUAGGUUGCCAGUGCCCCUGCUCUCUUUGUGAUUCUUGGAAUAAUUAUUGCUCCCUGUCCCGGGGUGUAUAAAUUACAUGGACGACAUUGUUGUCACUGGCUCCACCACUGAAGAACAUCUUUAGAAUCUCCGCACCCUAUUUCUCAUCUUACAGACUGCUGGUCGUAAUCUUCAGAAAUCAAAAUUUUUUCAGGCAUCUUAUCACGUACUUGGGGUUUCAACUCUCUCGGGAUGGUAUUCGUCCGCUUCAGCAAACUGUCGCUGCGAUUGAUGCCCUUCCUUGCCCUACAUCUGUUAAGGAACUGCAGGCCUUCUUGGGGAAAAUAGCAUACUAUCACAGGUUUUUACUGUUUGCGGCUUCGGUGGUUCAGCUGUUGCAUCGCCUGUUGCAUAAAAACAUGCCCUUUCACUGGUCUGCGUCAUGCGAUGCGGCUUUCCAGAAAUUGAAGACUAUGCCGAAACAGGCCCCGUGCCUGGCUACUUAUCGACCUGGCCAACAUCUUGUUCUUGCCACAGAUGCCUCUCAAUACGGGGUUGGUGCAGUCCUUGCGCAUCGUUUUUCUGAUGGUUCUGAACAACCCAUUGCUUAUGCCUCCAAAACGCUCAUGGAUGACCAACGAAAAUAUUCUCAAAUUGAAAAAGAAGCUUUUGCCAUUAUUUAUACUCUUUAUAAGUUUGGUGUUUUCUCUAUGGAUCCAAAUUUCAUCUUGUUAGGGAUAACAAACCAAUUGUUUCCUUGUUUCAUCCAUCAACGUCACUUCCCGACAAGGCUGCACACCGCCUCCAGCAUUGGGCUCUUUACUUGUCUCGUUUCAAUUAUGAGUUCCGGCUGACGGCUCAACGUGCGAAUGCUGAUGCACUAUCUCGCCUUCCCACGGGUCCUGAUCUGGCAUUCGAUAGGGACAAACUUUUUUGUUUCCACCUGGAUGUUGCCAAGCAGCGGGUUGUGGACAGGUUCCCCAUUACCGGGGACCGGCUGGCGGCUGCUACGGGUUCUGAUCCUACCCUCUCCUGGGUUUUACACUGUAUUCAGAAGGGUUGGCCAGAUCGUCCGUCUGCUAAGACUUCUGAUCCUUUGCGGAACUACUACGCUUUGCAUUACCGCCUCACGGCUAGGGAUGGUGUUAUCCUUCUUUCCACCGAAAAUGCUUCGCCGCGUGUUGUGGUACCUGCGUCUUUGCGUGCUUCGGUCUUGCGCCUCCUUCACUGAGGGCACUGGGGUGUCUCUCGCACAAAAUCUCUGGUGCGCCAAGCCGGCCGAAGUGGCCGUGCGGUUAAAGGCGCUGCAGUCUGGAACCGCAAGACCGCUCCGGUCGCAGGUUCGAAUCCUGCCUCGGGCAUGGAUGUUUGUGAUGUCCUUAGGUUAGUUAGGUUUAACUAGUUCUAAGUUCUAGGGGACUAAUGACCUCAGCAGUUGAGUCCCAUAGUGCUCAGAGCCAUUUGAACCAUCUGGUGCGCCAUCAUGUGUACUGGCCCGGAACCGACUCUGAAAUCACACACAUGGUCGCUGCCUGCGGCCCUUGUGUGUCACAGGCCGCCGCCCCGAAGUCAUCUUUGUUGCCGUGGCUUUUGCCUAAGAAGCUCUGGGAGCGUAUUCAUGCUGACUUCGCGGGACCUUUUAUAGAUCAGAAGUGCAGAAGACUCUAUAAAGUAUGGUUUUUACAGAAUAGAAGCUCUGGAAAGGAACCUCAGAAGUAGGCAUCUUUCAUCUGAUGAAAGGCAGCGUAUUGAAGGAGAGCUUGAAGAAGUGAAAGAAGAACU